AAACCGCUGGAAGGGAAGCGAAUGGAGUCGACAAUUCACCUGAUCAGAUUCAGUCACUCGCAUUCCACAACGCGCUCGCACUUCGCGAUCUUUCCAGACGCAGCUUGUGCGACGUGGGACGGGCGUGGUGCACUUCUGUCACGUGAGCGUCAACGUCAGUUCACUGCGAGUCAAACGGCCCCGAGGACGGUAGGUCCCCCUUUCGGGGGAUCGGUAAGCCUCUUGUGCACACGACUCCACGUGGACUGUGUCCUGUCGCAGCGCGCGCCUCCCUUUCCAGGGCAGGCUGCAGUCUCGUCGCUCUACCGUUCACUGUGCUAGACGGACGGCGACGCCUGUGCGUCACAAGCGCGCACGGUCGAGUGGCGAGCGACACCGACACGACGCGCUGAGUACGUUGGCCGCCAAGCGACUCCAUCCGACCCGUCUUGAAACACGGACCAAGGAGUCUAACAUGUGCGCGAGUCACAGGGUGACGGAAACCCAUGGGCGUAAUGAAAGUAAAUGCGCCUUGUGCGCAGAGGUGCGAAGUUCGYUGCUGCAGCUGCAUCACCGACCGACCUGUUCUACUCUUAGGAAGGUUUGAGUUAGAGCGCACCUGUUGGGACCCGAAAGAUGGUGAACUAUGCCUGAGUAGGGCGAAGCCAGCGGAAACACUGG
rnacentral:rRNA from 1 species